AGUGUAUAAUGAGCAGUGAGACGACUGGAGGUCACUUUCAUCGCCAUCUUGGUUUUGGUGGGUUUUGGACAGCUUCUUUACGCAUGCUGUUUUAUCAGCAAGGUCUUUGUGACCUGUAUCUUGUGCCGACCUCCUAUCUCAUCCUGUGACUAGGAAUGCCUUAACCUCCUGGAAUGCAGCUCAAGUCUUGCUGUGUUGCCCAGGCCAGAGUGCAAUGGCAUGAUCUCAGCUAACUGCAACCUCCACUUCCUGAGUUCAAGUGAUUCUCGUGCCUCAGCCUCCUGAGAAGCUGAGAUUACAGACGCAUGUAACAUUUGGUGCUGAAACCCAAGACAGGGGACUCCUUCAGAAGACCAGCCCCCUGUCCUCACCCUCAGUCCGGGAGGAGAUCCACCUACGACCUCGGGUCCUCAGACCAGCCCAAGGAACAUCUCACCAAUUUCAAAUUGGAUCUCCUCGGCUUAGUGGCUAAAGACUGACGCUGCCAAAUCAUCUCGGAAGCCCCCUGGACCAUCACGGAUGCCGAGCUUCGGAUAACUCCUACAGUGGAGGAAGACAGGAAUGUCAGGCCUGUGAGCCCAAAGUAAGCCAUCAUAACCCCUGUGACCUGCAUGUAUACGUCCAGAUGGCCUGGAGCAACUGAAGAACCACAAAAGAAGUGAAACAGCCAGUUCCUGCCUUAACUGAUGACAUUCCACCAUUGUGAUUUGUUCCUGCCCCACCCUAACUAAUCAAUCGACCUUGUGACAUUCCUCCCCUGGACAAUGAGUCUCAUGAUCUCCCCACCCUGCACCUUGUGUCCCCCAUCCCUGCCUGUAAGAGAUAACCACCUUUAACUGUAAUUUUCCACUACCUACCCAAAUCCUAUAAAACUGCCCCACCCCUAUUUCCCUUUGCUGACUCCUUUUUCGGACUCAGCCCACCUGCACCCAAGUGAAUAAACAGCCUCAUUGCUCACACAGA
rnacentral:lncRNA from 1 species